GAUGAACGCUGGCGGCGUGCCUAAUACAUGCAAGUCGAGCGAAAAGACGAGGAGCUUGCUCCUCUGACGUUAGCGGCGGACGGGUGAGUAACACGUGGAUAACCUACCUAUAAGACUGGGAUAACUUCGGGAAACCGGAGCUAAUACCGGAUAAUAUAUUGAACCGCAUGGUUCAAUAGUGAAAGACGGUUUUGCUGUCACUUAUAGAUGGAUCCGCGCCGCUUUAGCUAGUUGGUACGGUAACGGCUUACCAAGGCAACGCGGCGUAGCCGACCUGAGAGGGUGAUCGGCCACACUGGAGCUGAGACACGGUCCAGACUCCUGCGGGAGGCAGCAGUAGGGAAUCUUCCGCAAUGGGCGAAAGCCUGACGGAGCAACGCCGCGUGAGUGAUGAAGGUCUUCGGAUCGUAAAACUCUGUUAUUAGGGAAGAACAAAUGUGUAAGUAACUAUGCACGUCUUGACGGUACCUAAUCAGAAAGCCACGGCUAACUACGUG
rnacentral:rRNA from 1 species